AUUGAACGCUGGCGGCAGGCCUAACACAUGCAAGUCGAGCGAGCGGCGGACGGGUGAGUAAUGUCUGGGAAACUGCCUGAUGGAGGGGGAUAACUACUGGAAACGGUAGCUAAUACCGCAUACCAUCGGAUGUGCCCAGAUGGGAUUAGCUAGUAGGUGGGGUAAGGGCUCACCUAGGCGACGAUCCCUAGCUGGUCUGAGAGGAUGACCAGCCACACUGGGACUGAGACACGGUCCAGACUCCUACGGGAGGCAGCAGUGGGGAAUAUUGCACAAUGGGCGCAAGUCUGAUGCAGCCAUGCCGCGUGUGUGAAGAAGGCCUUCGGGUUGUAAAGCACUGUCGGCGAGGAGGCGUUACUCGCAGAGGAAGCACCGGCUAACUACGUGCCAGCAGCCGCGGUAAUAC
rnacentral:rRNA from 1 species